rnacentral:rRNA from 1 species
UACGUAGGGUGCAAGCGUUGUCCGGAAUUAUUGGGCGUAAAGAGCUCGUAGGCGGUUUGUUGCGUCGGCUGUGAAAUCCCGAGGCUCAACCUCGGGUCUGCAGUCUAUACGAGCAAACUAGAGUGUUGCAGGGGAGACUGGAAUUCCUGGUGUAGCGGUGAAAUGCGCAGAUAUCAGGAGGAACACCGGUGGCGAAGGCGGGUCUCUGGGCAACAACUGACGCUGAGGAGCGAAAGCGUGGGGAGCGAACAGG